rnacentral:rRNA from 1 species
GAAUCUGCCAAAAGGACUGGGACAACCACUGGAAACGGUGGCUAAUACCGGAUGAGCCGAAAAGUAAAAAGGGAAACCUGCCUUUUGAAGAGCUCGCGUCUGAUUAGCUAGUUGGUGAGGUAAGAGCUCACCAAGGCAGCGAUCAGUAGCUGGUCUGAGAGGAUGACCAGCCACACUGGGACUGAGACACGGCCCAGACUCCUACGGGAGGCAGCAGUGGGGAAUUUUCCGCAAUGGGCGAAAGCCUGACGGAGCAAGACCGCGUGAGGGAAGAAGGCUCUUGGGUCGUAAACCUCUUUUAUCAGGGAAGAAAAAAAUGACGGUACCUGAAGAAUCAGCCUCGGCUAACUCCGUGCCAGCAGCCGCGGUAAUACGGAGGAGGCAAGCGUUAUCCGGAAUUAUUGGGCGUAAAGCGUCCGCAGGUGGCUUAUCAAGUCUGCUGUCAAAGAGUGGGGCUUAACCCCAUAAAGGCAGUGGAAACUGAGAAGCUAGAGUGCCGUAGGGGUAGAGGGAAUUCCCGGUGUAGCGGUGAAAUGCGUAGAGAUCGGGAAGAACAUCGGUGGCGAAAGCGCUCUACUGGACCACAACUGACACUCAGGGACGAAAGCUAGGGGAGCG